AGCAGCCGCGGUAAUUCCAGCUCCAAUAGCGUAUAUUAAAGUUGUUGCAGUUAAAAAGCUCGUAGUUGAAUUUCGGGGUUAGCAAGUUGGUCGUGCCAAUGGUAUGUACUGGCUUUGCUGAUUCCUCCUUCUUGUAGAACCGUAAUGCCAUUUAGUUGGUGUUGCGGGGAAACAGGACUGUUACUUUGAAAAAAUUAGAGUGUUUAAAGCAGGCUAACGCCUGAAUACAUUAGCAUGGAAUAAUGAAAUAGGACGAGCGAUCCUAUUUUGUUGGUUUCUAGGAUUGACGUAAUGAUUAAUAGGGAUAGUUGGGGGCAUUAGUAUUCAAUUGUCAGAGGUGAAAUUCUUGGAUUUAUUGAAGACUGACUACUGCGAAGGCAUUUGCCAAGGAUGUUUUCAUUAAUCAAGAACGAAAGUUAGGGGAUUGAAGACGAUCAGAUACCGUCGUAGUCUUAACCAUAAACUAUGCCGACUAGGGAUCGGAUGAUGUUAAUUUUUAAUGAC
rnacentral:rRNA from 1 species